GAUGAACGCUGGCGGCGUGCCUAAUACAUGCAAGUCGAGCGAACAGACGAGGAGCUUGCUCCUCUGACGUUAGCGGCGGACGGGUGAGUAGCACGUGUAUAACCUACCUAUAAGACUGGGAUAACUUCGGGAAACCGGAGCUAAUACCGGAUAAUAUAUUGAACCGCAUGGUUCAAUAGUGAAAGACGGUUUUGCUGUCACUUAUAGAUGGAUCUGCGCCGCAUUAGCUAGUUGGUAAGGUAACGGCUUACCAAGGCGACGAUGCGUAGCCGCCCUGAGAGGGUGAUCGGCCACACUGGAACGGAGACACGGUCCAGACUCCCACGGGAAGCAGCAGUAGGGAAUCUUCCGGAAUGGGCGAAAGCCUGACGGAGCAACGCCGCGUGAGUGAGGAAGGUCUUCGGGUGGUAAAACUCUGUUAUUAGGGAAGAACAAAUGUGUAAGUAACUAUGCACGUCUUGACGGUACCUAAGCAGAAAGCCACGGCUAACUUAGUG
rnacentral:rRNA from 1 species